UACGGGGGGGGCAAGCGUUGUUCGGAAUUACUGGGCGUAAAGGGUUCGUAGGUGGCCAACUAAGUCAUACGUGAAAUCCCUCAGCUUAACUGGGGAACUGCGUCUGAUACUGGUUGGCUUGAGUGCAGGAGAGGAACGCGGAAUUCCAGGUGUAGCGGUGAAAUGCGUAGAUAUCAGGAGGAACACCGAUGGCGAAGGCAGGUCUCUGGGCUAACACUGACGCUCAUGCACGAAAGCGUGGGGAGCAAACAGG
rnacentral:rRNA from 1 species